AGGAGUGAGGUACAGAACACACGCGCGCCCCACGGUUUACAGUUAGCCAUCGCAUCUCUGCCAAUCGCCAUGCUCGCCUACCUCCUCCACGCGCCCGCCGCCGCCGCGCCCAGCCCGCUCGCCCUCCGCGGGCCGCCGACCGCCGCGUCCAAGACCCCCUUCCUCCCGCCCUCCGUCGCCCGCCCGCACAGGCGCGCCGCCGCGGCGGGCGCCUUCUCCGCCGCCGCCGUCGGCCCCAUCGCGGCCUCGCUGCUCGAGGGCCCCGUGCUGCUCUGGGCCGGCCGCCUCUGCGUCUACUACGCGCUCAUCCACAUCGGCCUCGCGGGAUCCCCGCGCAGCCCCUUCCUCUCCCACGAGAUUCGAGGCGAGGACGGCGCCGGGGAGAGCGACCUAGGGUUCUCCAAGUGGGCCGACAAGCUCCGUGGCGGCGCACCAGGCGACAAAGAAGGCCAGGAUAAGUGGAAGCUAGUCAGCAAAUGGAAACCCACAACCAAAGGCACACUAAAGAGGAUGUACCGAGUUCCUUCAAAGGAAGAAGGUCGCCGAAUUCUUAAAGAAAUUGCUUUGGUUCUAUCUGAAGAUGACAAUUUUGUGGAUGCUUCCACUCACAAGGGUUGUCAAAUCAGGAGGGAAAGCGCGCAUGGAGAGAGCGUAUGUUGCUACAAUGUAAGAGCCUUGUUUGAUGAGCUUCCUGGCCCUCACCUAGUUCUGGAGAUUACACCUUUUCCUGUUGGAACCCUCACUGAGAGUGACUACCGCAAGGCCGAGAGGCUUGAAAUGGUGCUGAGGAUGAGUGCCUCCCUUUAA
rnacentral:rRNA from 1 species